rnacentral:sRNA from 1 species
CCGUUAUAAGUCCAUUUCCCGAUAGGAUUCACAAAUCGUGAAGAUGCCUUGUAACCAAAUUAUCUUUGGGGGAAUUAU